rnacentral:rRNA from 1 species
UACGAAUGGAGCGAGCGUUGUUCGGAAUCACUGGGCGUAAAGAGUAUGUAGGCGGACUUGAAAGUCAGAAGUGAAAUCCCGAGGCUCAACCUCGGAAUUGCUUUUGAAACUCCAAGUCUCGAGUCCCGGAGGGGUUGACGGAAUUCCUAGUGUAGAGGUGAAAUUCGCAGAUAUUAGGAGGAACACCAGUGGCGUAGGCGGUCAACUGGACGGGUACUGACGCUGAGAUACGAAAGCGUGGGGAGCAAACAGG